GAAUCUUGGACAAUGGGGGCAACCCUGAUCCAGCCAUGCCGCGUGAGUGAUGAAGGCCCUAGGGUUGUAAAACUCUUUCGGCGGGGACGAUAAUGACGGUACCCGCAGAAGAAGCUCCGGCUAACUUCGUGCCAGCAGCCGCGGUAAUACGAAGGGGGCUAGCGUUGCUCGGAAUCACUGGGCGUAAAGCGCACGUAGGCGGCAUCUUAAGUCGGGGGUGAAAUCCUGGAGCUCAACUCCAGAACUGCCUUCGAUACUGGGAUGCUCGAGUCCGGGAGAGGUGAGUGGAACUGCGAGUGUAGAGGUGAAAUUCGUAGAUAUUCGCAAGAACACCAGUGGCGAAGGCGGCUCACUGGCCCGGUACUGACGCUGAGGUGCGAAAGCGUGGGGAGCGAACAGG
rnacentral:rRNA from 1 species